AUAAACCUUUAUUAUUGUUACUAUUGAUUUAAUCUAUGAAAAACCGUUUCGUCUUAAAGCCUCUUUAAGGCUUUUUACUUUAACAUCAACAAGGGCCAGUAGCAUGCAUACACUCAACACAACGAGUUUCCCCUACAGGUACACAUAGGUCAGUCCGAUAUACCUUUGGUCAUUGCCCUAUUACAUAAAUGUUGAUAAUCUGUCCAAUAUAAUGUACUGCCCUGGGUCGCUUUAUUGAAAAUAUAUCAUUAUAGAUAUAUCAUCUGUCAAUGGUGUAGGCGAUGGGUAAUUAAUUACGUUAUUAUAAUAAAAGCAAUUCUAGUCCAGCUUUGGUCAGUGUGGUCUGACGUUGUAUGGGUCAGUUUCUGGAAUAACCGAAAGAGCGAUUUGGCAUGCUGGAUGAAUGGCGUUUCUAUAAUCGUAGUAGGAACUAAACUUCACGGAGUGAAUCAUGAAGUCGUGUGAUGAACAUAGCAAUGCCAAUUUAGGAUCUGCCCUAUCUACAAGUAUGGGCAAGCGCUAUCCUCCUCGUUUGUCUUUUCGUUCCAGUUAUGAAAAGGUGCCGGGGCCACUCUCGUCCAUUGUGGACCCUUACCCAGUGCCUGUAAUAGAUUACCACCAGGAAAAGAAAGAAAAUGUUUUGUGUACCAGUAAACUAACAUUGUUUCACGAAUAUUCGCCAUUUAUGAACAGUUACAACAUCUACCACAUAAAAAGAAAGGUCACUUCCGGUUCAGGAAACGCAAGCGCCACCUGUGAUACGACAGCCAGCAUACGGGGUUCAACGAACAUUCUCAAGGUCCUCAUCAAAAUACAAGUCAAGUGACGAAGAAGAUGAUGCCGAGGACAUAACGUGUGACGUCAUCAAGAAGCAUUGGUGCUAUUACAUCAUGUGUUUUGGUUUAUGUUUUGACUGAACUUUGCAGAACAUAGUUGAAUGUUAUAUAAUAUCACAAGUCAGUGUCAUAUCAAAUUGCAUUUAAAGGCAUGUAAAAUGUCUAUGAUUACAUACAAUUUGCUAAGUUAUUGUGUAUUCCUAUGCUUAUAAAUAAUAAUUUCUAUUUAAAAAAGCCUUUGAUUAUUCAGUAACACACAACAUUUUUACCAUUUGAAUAAUGGAAACAAUUUGUAUCAGGGGUGAUAACUCUUACACAAUUCACAAGUAUAAUCUGUAAGGUCUCAUUUAGCCUUAAAUGGACGCGGCUAUUUACAUUGAUUAAUAUAAUCAAACGUAUCGUUUCACGUAACACACAAUAAUUACUAGACGGUGUACCUCAUUAACGAAGAACAAUUAAAUCAUGCGUCAUUAGUUUCGUUUUAACACGUUCGACCACGGACACUCUAUUAAAAGCUAGGCUAUUUCUUAAAUCCGCGUCGAUGUUUUAACAGAUAGCCACAGUGACAGUCACUGCCUUGUAUCAUUUGUGUGUGAUAUAAUUAACCCAUUGUUAACUGGUUUAGCCAGAGAUAGUUUGUAUCUGAUAAAGGUGGGUAUAAAUGUCACACUGACACACAUAACGCUUUGUUAUUAGUUACCUUUGUUAUUCUGUUGAAAACAGUAUAUCAUUGAAGAUUUUAUUUGGUAAUUGGUUAAAUACAUAGAUUUAAUGUUGAAACUAAAAUGACCCAACACAUUCAUAAAGUUUCAUAUAAGAUGAUAGAAUCGCGAAUUAACUUAUAAUUAGUCAAUGUAUUAAGAGAACUUCGUAUGUAAUUCAGUAGAAAUGUAAUUAAAUGUGUCCAUUUAUAGUUUAUAUUCGUGUUAAAUGUAACUAGUGAUAUCUACGAGUUACCUCCCUUUCUUAUAACCUAUAUGUGUAAUGUGUAUACGCUCUGAGUAAUUGUAGUCUUUUAAUUUGUGUUUGUUACAGAGUGUAGGUGUUUAAACCUAUGUUGAAAAAAGAAUUCACGACAAAUAACGACUUGGUGGUCAAUUUUGAUGCCCGGUUACAUAUGGAGCCUCCAGUGAGGACUACCCUCGACAGUACAGUACAGUAGUCAUCGGCCAUGUUUCCGUGAUGAGUGUUUACUCGUCUGUCUAUAUAUAGCUAUCAGCUGAUCGGGUCAAGGUCAGUGAUUCAAGCGUUCGUCGGAUAGAGAUCCAAUUUUCAUCAUUCUUGUGGAGAUAUGCUUCCGUACCUUAUUCAAACACAUCAGUGAUUCAGACUUUCCAAGAUGGUGUCAUAUUGUGUGUUUGGGAAUUGCUAUGGCAAUGUAUAUUCGACUUUCGGCGUUUCCAGCUGAAGAACAAGGUAUUUCAUAGUAUUCAUAGACUACAAACAUUAUUCAGAUAUUGCAGAAGCUGUUUGAACUAGAGACAUUGAUUGCCAGUCCGUAAAUAUAUUGAGAUUGUGCUUGAACAUUGACAUUUUUUUUUCUCACAUGGUUUAUGAUUAUUGGUUGAUAUAUUGCAUUGAAUAAUAGAAUUGUAUUGAAAAUAAUUGUAUUGAACAUAGUUGUAUUUCUUUUCAGAUUU